AUUGAACGCUGGCGGCAGGCCUAACACAUGCAAGUCGAGCGGAGCGGCGGACGGGAGAGUAAUGCCUAGGAAUCUGCCUGGUAGUGGGGGAUAACGUCCGGAAACGGGCGCUAAUACCGCAUACUAUCAGAAGAGCCUAGUUCGGAUUAGCUAGUGGGUGGGGUAAAGGCCUACCAAGGCGACGAUCCGUAACUGGUCUGAGAGGAUGAUAAGUCACACUGGAAUGUAGACACUGUCCAGACUCCGACGGGAGGCAGCAGUGGGGAAUAUUUGACAAUUGGCGAAAGCCUGAUGCAGCCAUGCCGCGUGUGUGAAGAAGGUCUUCGGAUUGUAAAGCACUUUAAGUUGGGAGGCGUUACCAACAGAAUAAGCACCGGCUAACUUCGUGCCAGCAGCCGCGGUAAUUC
rnacentral:rRNA from 1 species